GAUGAACGCUGACAGAAUGCUUAACACAUGCAAGUCUACUUGAACUUCGGUUUGGGUGGCGGACGGGUGAGUAACGCGUAAAGAACUUGCCUCACAGAUAGGGACAAUAUUUGGAAACGAAUGCUAAUACCUGAUAUUAUGAUUUUAGGGCAUCCUAGAAUUAUGAAAGCUAUAUGCACUGUGAGAGAGCUUUGCGUCCCAUUAGCUAGUUGGAGAGGUAACGGCUCACCAAGGCGAUGAUGGGUAGCCGGCCUGAGAGGGUGAUCGGCCACAAGGGGACUGAGACACGGCCCUUACUCCUACGGGAGGCAGCAGUGGGGAAUAUUGGACAAUGGACCAAGAGUCUGAUCCAGCAAUUCUGUGUGCACGAUGAAGUUUUUCGGAAUGUAAAGUGCUUUCAGUUGGGAAGAAAAAAAUGACGGUACCAACAGAAGAAGUGACGGCUAAAUACGUG
rnacentral:rRNA from 1 species